AUAGCGUAUAUUAAAGUUGUUGCAGUUAAAAAGCUCGUAGUUGGAUUUGUGGCUGUCGUGAGCGGCCUGGCACUUGGUGCUAGUGCCUGCCUGCGACGCCAUCCUUGGGUGGAACCUGUGUGGCAUUAGGUUGUCGUGCAGGGGAUGCCCAUCGUUUACUGUGAGAAAAUUAGAGUGUUCAAAGCAGGCUUAUGCCAUUGAAUAUGUUAGCAUGGAAUAAUAAGAUAGGACCUUGGUACUAUUUUGUUGGUUUGCGCACCAAGGUAAUGGUUAAUAGGGACAGUCGGGGGUAUUCGUAUUCCAUUGUCAGAGGUGAAAUUCUUGGAUUUUUGGAAGACGAACUACUG
rnacentral:rRNA from 1 species